rnacentral:rRNA from 1 species
AUUGAACGCUGGCGGCAUGCCUUACACAUGCAAGUCGAACGGUAACGCGGGGCAACCUGGCGACGAGUGGCGAACGGGUGAGUAAUGCAUCGGAACGUGCCUGGUAGUGGGGGAUAACUGCUCGAAAGAGCAGCUAAUACCGCAUACGACCUGAGGGUGAAAGGGGGGGAUCGCAAGACCUCUCGCUAUCAGAGCGGCCGAUGUCGGAUUAGCUAGUUGGUGGGGUAAAGGCCCACCAAGGCAACGAUCCGUAGCUGGUCUGAGAGGACGACCAGCCACACUGGGACUGAGACACGGCCCAGACUCCUACGGGAGGCAGCAGUGGGGAAUUUUGGACAAUGGACGCAAGUCUGAUCCAGCCAUGCCGCGUGCGGGAAGAAGGCCUUCGGGUUGUAAACCGCUUUUGUCAGGGAAGAAAUCUUCUGGGUUAAUACCUCGGGAGGAUGACGGUACCUGAAGAAUAAGCACCGGCUAACUACGUGCCAGCCGCCGCAGUAA